ensembl:lincRNA Gm11917 predicted gene 11917
GAGCUUCUGCAUUCCUAAGGAGAUCUCAGGUAGCCCAAAGUUUCCAUGUCUCAGGCAGAAGGUGAGUAGCAAUGAUUGAAGGACUUUCUCUUGAAAAAAGAGCAUGCUCCUUCCUUAAGUUUUGCUGUAUUUGUAGAACGAUGGAGAAGGAAGCUGCCUUGUUCCUAACAAAGAGGCCUUAGUCUUGAUUAGGAAACAGAAGUGCUGCAGGUCCCCUCAAUUGACGUCGCUGCCGGAACAAAUGCAUUUUCUCAGGGAGAAGAUGCAAAAGAAAUGUUUUCUCUAUGUUCUGAAGCUUUCGCUGAAAUUAUGAAAAUAUGACAAGGAUAACAUUGAAAUUAACUAAGUUUGGUUCCUUCAACUUUACAUUGAA